rfam:Parcubacteria bacterium GW2011_GWA2_45_15 TW97_C0003, whole genome shotgun sequence.
GCGCCCAUAGCUCAGCUGGUAGAGCAGAUCCCUCUUAAGGAUAAGGUCCAAGGUUCGAUCCCUUGUGGGCGCA